CCCUUAGAAGUUCUGGGCUACACGCGUGUUACACUGAUAUGUUCAACAAGUUAAAAUAUUCCUUGCCCGACGGGGCUGGGUAAUCUUUUAAAAGCAUGUCGUGAUGGGGAUAGAGCAUUGUAAUUAUUGCUCUUGAACGAGGAAUUCCUAGUAAGUGCAAGUCAUUAACUUGCGCUGAUUACGUCCCUGCCCUUUGUACACACCGCCCGUCGCUCCUACCGAUUGAGUGGUCCGGUGAGGCUUUGGGAUCUGAGCGGAAAGAGCGUUUCGCUGUUUCUGCCCGGAAAACCCAGUCGAACCUUAUCAUUUAGAGGAAGGAGAAGUCGUAACA
rnacentral:rRNA from 1 species